rnacentral:rRNA from 1 species
UACGGGGGGGGCAAGCGUUGUUCGGAAUUACUGGGCGUAAAGGGCUCGUAGGCGGCCAACUAAGUCGGAUGUGAAAUCCCCAGGCUUAACCUGGGAACUGCAUCCGAUACUGGAUGGCUUGAAUCCGGGAGAGGGAUGCAGAAUUCCAGGUGUAGCGGUGGAAUGCGCAGAUAUCAGGAGGAACACCGGUGGCGAAGGCGGGAUCCUGGGCCAGUACUGACGCUGAGGAGCGAAAGCGUGGGGAGCAAACAGG